CCAGAAAUCAAGAGCUUUUCUAGUCUUGCAGGUGGAAGCACGCAGUAUUGGUCUCCCUUGGUGAAUACCAGGUGGCAUUUGAACCAAAGUCCUCACUGCCUGCAUGUGCAUUGAAGGAACCAGUACCAACACUUGAGAAACAGAGUUGGUGGGGUGGCUUGGAGUCAAAUCCCAGGAGGGCAUAGUAAGCCCGGGCUGGAGUUGAACCUGCAAUGCUCCCACCUCAGCCUACAGAAUGCCAAGAUUACAGGUGUGCACUGCCAUGGCUGGCUAAAGUUAAGGACCUUGAGAUGAAGAGAUUAGCCUGCAUUAUCCAGGUGGGCCCAAAUUAAUCACAAUCCUUAAAAGUGGAGGGGUUCUUCUGGAAGGAUGGUUAGACAGAAACAGCAUGGUACUUUAGAGAACAAAGGAAGAUAGGCAUAAAACACAACUUCUACAAACUGGAAAAGGCAAUGAAAGGGACUCUGCCCCUACGGUCUCUUGAGAGGAAUGCUACUCUUCGGACACCUGAGUUUCAAUUCAGUGAGACAUGUGUUUAACUUUUGACCUAUGAAACUGUAAGGUAAUAAGUCUGUGUCGUUUUAAGCCACUAAACUUGUGUUUGUCACAGCACCAAUAGAAAACUAACACAGAUAAUUUAAGAAAAACAAAUUUUAUCUGAUAUUUGAAGAUCUUUAUUUCAUCUAUUCCUUGCAUACUUUAGAC
ensembl:lncRNA